AAACACAGGUUUCGGUGUUGCCCGCAGACUCAGGUUUCCGAAACAUACCACUUGUAACUUGCAGCCGGGAAGGCGAUUCGAGUUGCAAACGACUUUCUGUUCAAAGUUCCCUUUGUUUAUUUUUAAAGCAACGCCUGAAGAUCGAAAGCUGAGACAGACUCUGGUCAGACACACCGCAGGAAUAAGGGUGCAAUCGGCGUUUAAUUCCUCUCACUGAGCGGAAUUAUUCUUUCGAGGCGAAACUGGCAAUUUUAAGUGACGCUCUGCGAAACGGAUCGACGCUGCGCUCUCUCUCCCUCUCUCUCUCUCUCACUCUCUCUGCUCUGGGACCGCGGGCGGCAGGUGUUAAAGCAGAAGAAGCGGAAAGCAUAUAUUUCGAAAAGGUGCUCUGUGAGCAAUCUCUGACCGCCUCGGCUCGUUUUGGAGCGGAGGGGGUGUUGUCGAUCGGUACCACAGGUAGAGUUGCAAUUGCAUUAGUUGGUGACCUUGCUUUGGGGUUACAGUGCAAUGGCGAGUUCAGGAAGUUGUUACUGAACGAUGCACGAACUGACAUGUGCUGAAUUAACAGCCCGCAGUUUGCUGAGCAAUGGAAACGCCAACUGGAGAACAUCUUUUGCGCUUUAGGUCGGGAUUGCACCACGAAUUCUAACUCGGAAAGUUUAACUGCUGCAGAAGUUGGAUACAUCUCCCAUUCCUUCCCCGGUUUGACGAACCUUUCAGACCACUCGUAAUAUAAUCCUCGUCUCCUUCUAACCAAAAACCUCAUAGUUUAGAAAAUUCAACAUCAUCGUUAAAAGUUAUUCCCCCCCCAAAAAAAAACCCAAAACUAUUUGCACUCCCCUUUCGCCUUUAUUUUGCAAAUUGAUUCGUGGAAAAUCGUCGGUGUUUGGUUCAAUAAACGUGAUGGAAAAAACACGAGGCUUUUGCACUGAACAGUGUUCCUGCAGAAGUGGCUUCACAACUUAACAACAACAACAAAAAAAAGAACAGCGAAUGAUUUGCCGUUUGCACUCGAUUUGCAGCGUUCGGUAGUUUUAACCAAAUUUAGAAAGCGACUGUAUUUUUCAAUAUUUUCCAAUCUCUGCCGAAUAGGUGUCUUUAAAAAAAACUUCCGCUGGAAAUCUCUGCAUCAUUUCGAAGGCACUUUGCAGACUCAUAGCUUUUGUGCAAAAAAACACACCCACAAAAACCCAGCCUCGAGUAACGUGUGCUUUAAAAAGUACAGACAUAUUUCACUUCAAGUUGCAGGGGAUGAUUUCGGAAUCGCCAUUCAGCAAUUAAAAUCUGCAUUUCCCCAUCUGCUCCAGUACUGUUCAAUACUUGCUUUUUAAUUUUUUUUUAAAAAAAACUCUCACUUCUAAACAUUCUCGCAGAAAAUAAUUGAGCGUAGAAAAUAACCGUUUGCAAAGGGACGUCGAGAAUGAGAAUUGCCUUGUGUUUUCUUUUAUAUUUAUACAGUGGGGCGAUAUGUUUCUGGGACAGCAUUUGAUGUAAUGCUUUGCAGAGAUACCCUUUUGAAUGACAGAUUCGCUGCAGAAGCCAAAUACUAACUCCUUGCAACAUGUAACGGUGCUUCCACUGCCCGGGAAUAUUGCUCUCCUACCUUUUGCCAAACAUAUAUGUUUUUUUUAAAAAAAAACUCAAAAGGUUUGAAGCUGUCUGCGGGAGGGAAUUUGAUGCAACAGCAGUUUUUUUUAAAAAAAAUAUUUGCUAUGAUUUCUGUGACACACCUAUUCUCUUGAUCGGAAAUCAGAUUGGACUCAAAUUAUAUACAUAUCAGAACAGAAACAAUGAACAACUCGAGGCAUUUAAAAAAAAUAACGACUCUGUGUUUUCCUCCAUGUUAGUGCAUACAUGUUAAAUGUGUCAUGCGAGGCAGAUUGAUGGUGAGAAGCUGCUCAUCGCCCGGAACGACACAAAGGCACUUACUUCCCAACAAGGACGAAUAGGGAAAAUAUAAUAGAAAGUCUCAUCUUUAGGGAUGGAUCAAAAAUGCUUAGAAACAGAGACUUGGUUGGGAUCAAGUCCAGAAGCCUACUCACUCAAGCAGGUCAGAGGGCAGCAAAAUAAAGAGGAAUACAAUUGGAAAUAUGUAGAAAGUAAAGAUCAGACACAGUGACCCAUUCCUCUGUUCUCCAGAUCUCUCUCAACCAAAACCUUUCUUCUCAAAACCUCAUAAAAACACAUGAUUCUUUGACUGAGCAUUUGGUCAACAUCUUUAAAUCGCAAAUCACAAAUGCAAAAGCAUUGAGGUAUUUUUCUAGGUGAGAGGUAUUACACGAGGGUAAACUGUUGAUGGACAGAUAUUCUUAAACCAAUUAUUCCUAUUAAAUGAUGGGCCAGUAACC